ACACGUUUAACGAAAAAAAACUUGAAUUAGGAAAAGGGAUAGGGUUACAUGUUAUGGCCAUUGGAAUUCAUCUGAAAAGCUCUCUCUCUCUCGGACCUCGACGAACUAGCGCGGCGGCCGGAACCUCAUCUCCUCGCAUCAAUUUCUCCGAUCAAAUCGUCUCUCUCAGAGCCUCAUCUCUUGGCCUUGCUUUCACUCUCAGAUUCAACUCACCGCGCCGGUGAAUACUUCACGGCGGCGGCGUCUCAGUUCACUCGUUGCACAAAUCUCUCGUCUCAAGACGCUAAUCAAACUCUUCUGAUUUCACUCUCGAUCUUUAUGCUUCUCACAUCUCUCUGUCAUCGAUCUCAUCUCUCCAUCCGGCGAUUCUUUGAGUAUGACGAUAGUGAUAAGAAAACCAGAGAGGAUAUUCUUCAUGAACUGCGUUUUUGCGUUGAUGAUGAUGUUUACGGUGAGUUCUUAAGGAUGAGAUAGAAUUGAUGGAGAAUCGAGAGAGUUUUUCUUCAGAGUUUGUUACAAGGUGUUCAAUUCUGUUACAGAGAUUUUCUCCUUCUUUUUUGUUGAAUUUUCUUUGGUGAUUUUAAUCGGAGAGGUGAAGAAGAUCAAGAAGUUUGAAUGAUGGUGGUCAAGAGGUUCUUUAAGUAGGUGAGGGAAGGAGAUGAUUGAAAUGAUGAUUGUGGAGAGUUGAAGGUGAAUUGGUGUUGAUGAUUUUCUGGUUUUUUUUAAUCGAUAAUGAAGAAGAGAGAAAGAUGAAGGAAUGUGAGAGAGAUGAAGGAUAAUGAUGAAUUCAGAGAAUAUGCAAAGAUUGAGGUGAAGGAAGCUGAUUUCUGUUACAGAAUCGGUUGGAUCCAAUGGUGAGCAUGGUUCGGUCCUUAUUAUGUAGGUUGCGGUUUAGUUAUGGUCCAUUGGUUUGUAUUGAUGCAGAUUGUGGAUCUGUUGUUCUGAAUAUGCAGGGUCCUUGUGUCAGCAUUUUUGGUUAAGGCAUUGGCAAUUUCUCUUGCUUGGGAUCAUUUUUACAUGAUGAUGACAUCCAUGGUGGCAUAAAGUUUACAGCAGAUUCCAAGCCAUGAUUUGAUGGAGGUCAUGAAGAAUAAAAUGGAUGAAGAUGAUUUCCGAGAAUUGAUCAAGGAUAACAAUAGGAUUAGUAACCGAACUUUGUAUUUUUCAAUAACAAUUGUAUGUCAUGUGAGUGUUGUAAUGAUGUAAUUGCAUCUUGGGUUUGAAAUGUAUGGACGUUUGAUUUUUGGAUAUGUACAAUGUAAUGAAUGAUGAUAUUGAAAUGCCUUGAAUUAGUGACGUAAUGGACUUGAACUGUCGCAUAAUGGAAUCGACUUUGAACCA